AUGGAGAGAAUUUUUAUUGGUGAUAUGCGUGACGGUGCUGCUGAUCUAGUUCAGAGCUCGAUUCAUCUGUUGAACAACAUGAAGCUUUUCAAAACUAUGCAAGACUCUCGCUGCAAGCCAUAUGAAGAAAGUGCAAAUGUUGUUAUCAGGCAGAUUGAGCAGUAUGAGGCUGCUGCCACCGACAGCAGGGCUGGUGAUGGUACCGAGGCUAAUGUUUCUGAUCACGAAACAAAUGAUGUUGGCUUGGAGCGCCCUGUUGUUGAUAUUGAGCAGGAUGAGGCUGCUGCCACUGACAGCAGGGCUGAUGAUGGUACUGAGGCUAAUGUUUCUGAUCACCAUACGAACGAUGUUGGCUUGGAGCACCCUGUUGUUGAUGAGACCAGUCAUAAUGUUGAGGCUGCUGUUGACCGUGGAGUUAAUGAUCCAUCUACUGAUAAGUGCAAGGGUCCUGUUGUUGGCGACGAGCCUUGUUCGCCCGUUGGUGAUGUUCCUUUGAAUGUUAGCAGCAGCAAGAUCAAUGAUGUUGCUGUGAAUGCUUCUAAGAUGACUGAUGUUGAGCGUGAGGCUGUCGUUAGUGGUGGAGAUGAUGCUCGUGGUGUUCCAUUGAGUAGUGGGUGCGAUGUUGGUACCAAAGUUGCUGAUGAGGAUGUUGGUGCUGCCAGCAUACUUGAUGCCAAAUCGUCUGGUGUUGGUAUUGCUGGGAAUGAAAAUGUUUCUGAUUGUGAUGAUUUGCCGCCGGAGAAUUUCCCGCCUGGAGGUCUUGAUUACGGUGAUGCAUUGCAAGAUGCCUCUAGCGUAGAGGAGGUGCCAUCCGAGGAGAUGCCUCUUCUGGCCCCUUGA
rnacentral:rRNA from 1 species